GCAAACUUGGUCAUUUAGAGGAAGUAAAAGUCGUAACAAGGUUUCCGUAGGUGAACCUGCGGAAGGAUCAUUAUUGAGUGUUUUAACCCCCCUUGUAAAAUAGGGUGGGUAAGCCUCCCGUCCUUUGCUGGACCCUUCUACUUUUUAGUGGGAGGGACGCUUUUAACUUCUGCUUCGGUGGUAUUACCCCACCGAAACACCCUCAAAAAUACUUUUUGGUUAAACAGUUCUGUCCGAGAAAAUUUUUCAAAAUUUUAAAAACUUUCAACAACGGAUCUCUUGGUUCUGGCAUCGAUGAAGAACGCAGC
rnacentral:misc_RNA from 1 species